rnacentral:piRNA from 1 species
UCUAUGAGGAUGCCAUUUUAAGAACUCA